rnacentral:rRNA from 1 species
AUUGAACGCUGGCGGCAGGCCUAACACAUGCAAGUCGAGCGGAGCGGCGGACGGGUGAGUAAUGCCUAGGCACCUGCCUGGCCGUGGGGGAUAACGUCCGUAAACGGGCGCUAAUACCGUAUACUAUCAGAUGAGCCUAGGUCGGAUUAGCUAGUUUGUGGGGUAAAGGCCUACCAAGGCGACGAUCCGUAGCUGGGCUGAGAGGAGGAUCAGGCCCACUGGAACUGAGAGACGGUCCAGACGCCUACGGGAGGCAACAGUGGGGAAUAUUGGACAAUGGGCGAAAGCCUGAUCCAGCCAGGCCGCGUGUGUGAAGAAGGUCUUCGGAUUGUAAAGCACUUUAAGUUGGGAGGCGGUACCAGCAGAAUAAGCACCGGCUAACUACGUGCCAGCAGCCGCGGUAAUAC